GACGAACGCUGGCGGCGUGCCUAAUACAUGCAAGUAGAACGCUGAAGGAGGAGCUUGCUUCUCUGGAUGAGUUGCGAACGGGUGAGUAACGCGUAGGUAACCUGCCUGGUAGCGGGGGAUAACUAUUAGAAACGAUAGCUAAUACCGCAUAAGAGUAGAUGUUGCAUGACAUUUGCUUAAAAGGUGCAAUUGCAUCACUACCAGAUGGACCUGCGUUGUAUUAGCUAGUUGGUGGGGUAACGGCUCACCAAGGCGACGAUACAUAGCCGACCUGAGAGGGUGAUCGGCCACACUGGGACUGAGACACGGCUCAGACUCCUACGGGAGGCAGCAGUAGGGAAUCUUCGGCAAUGGACGGAAGUCUGACCGAGCAACGCCGCGUGAGUGAAGAAGGUUUUCGGAUCGUAAAGCUCUGUUGUAAGAGAAGAACGAGUGUGAGAGUGGAAAGUUCACACUGUGACGGUAUCUUACCAGAAAGGGACGGCUAACUACGUG
rnacentral:rRNA from 1 species